GGCGGGGUCUGCCGGCCGGAAGCCGCUGCUCCUCUGCCUCGGAGUGGCGGUGCGGUGUCUGCAGGGACCCGAAAAAUUAUGGCUGCCUUGGGGGAAACAAACUGUGCGUAACACUCCAGCUGGAGGCUGGGAGAAUUAAUUCCACUUUCAGUUUGGGCAGAGAUCAUUUCUCUUCUGGCGCCGAGGGCAGUCAGGGUGGGGCCGGCAGGGUGCCGGAGGUGCCACUGUCUGCAGAAGCAGGCCGUGCUGACCCCGGAGCGGCGCUGAGCCUGGUACUGACCUCGUGCAGGACAGGAACGUCAGCUGAUGACGCACAGGGAAGUGGCCCCAGGAGAAAGCUGCCGGCGUCAAUUUUCAGGUACAGAUUCGGAACUUCAGUCGUAGGAGAGCUGUGUCUUUGACGACCGAGCGGAGAGUGUGCUCAAGGAAGCGAAUGUGAAGUCCUAAGUGCAGCAGUCUGCGAAUCUCUAAGGAAGUCAGCCGCUCUUGUCACAAAGUCGAAACAAGAAGAGAAAGAGAACAUGUUGUUUGGAAUUCAUGCUCACAGAAGCAAACAAGGGAAAGGUAAACAAAACUAAAACAUCGAAUUAUAAAGUGAUUUAUAAUUUUUAAAACUGAAGCUUCAAUCUUCUGUAAAAUUUAAGGCCCGAAGUAUGUUUACUAUUAAUAUCUGAUCACAGGUGUUGCAAAAUACUAGACUUUCAUGAAUAAGGGGAGUUGGAUGCAUGCUAACUUUCGUGCAACAUCUAGAAAACCUGCUUUUGGAUGUGGUUGGACACAGUAAAGCACUUCGAAGGCUGAGUAUGUUAUGGUCGGCCAGGUGUGAAGUAUUCGGUACAGUAGAGAGCACUGGGUGAGAUGAAGACAACCAGGCCUCUUGGAGAAGUCAAACAUGCAGCUUCAGCCACCCCGGGAGGUGAUCUGUCCAUGUGAGUGACAACCUGGGACACUGGGCAGGCAGUCAGAUGACCCAGACAGCAUUGGACAGUCCAGAGGAGUGACAGCUUGUUUUGGAUGUGGGCCAUGUGACAGUGUGUCACGCAUAUGUGUGUGGGGUUUCUCGUGUGUUUAAACAGGGAGAAAAACAUCCUGUCCCUACAGAUUUGAUGAAAACAAGACCCAGUGCAAGCGCAUUUUUGCUUCCUGACAGUACUGGUUUUGCUAUUGUCAAUGCAAAUUCCAU
rnacentral:lncRNA from 1 species